AACAGGAUUAGAUACCCUGGUAGUCCACGCUGUAAACGAUGUCGACUUGGAGGUUGUGCCCUUGAGGCGUGGCUUCCGGAGCUAACGCGUUAAGUCGACCGCCUGGGGAGUACGGCCGCAAGGUUAAAACUCAAAUGAAUUGACGGGGGCCCGCACAAGCGGUGGAGCAUGUGGUUUAAUUCGAUGCAACGCGAAGAACCUUACCUACUCUUGACAUCCAGAGAAUUUGCUAGAGAUAGCUUAGUGCCUUCGGGAACUCUGAGACAGGUGCCGCAUGGCUGUCGUCAGCUCGUGUUGUGAAAUGUUGGGUUAAGUCCCGCAACGAGCGCAACCCUUAUCCUUUGUUGCCAGCACGUAAUGGUGGGGACUCAAGGGAGACUGCCGGUGAUAAACCGGAGGAAGGUGGGGAUGACGUCAAGUCAUCAUGGCCCUUACGAGUAGGGCUACACACGUGCUACAAUGGCAUAUACAAAGAGAAGCGAACUCGCGAGAGCAAGCGGACCUCAUAAAGUGUGUCGUAGUCCGGAUUGGAGUCUGCAACUCGACUCCAUGAAGUCGGAAUCGCUAGUAAUCGUAGAUCAGAAUGCUACGGUGAAUACGUUCCCGGGCCUUGUACACACCGCCCGUCACACCAUGGGAGUGGGUUGCAAAAGAAGUAGGUAGCUUAACCUUCGGGAGGGCGCUUACCACUUUGUGAUUCAUGACUGGGGUGAAGUCGUAACAAGGUAACC
rnacentral:rRNA from 1 species